GCCUGUGGGAUUCACAAUUUACACAGGCCUGAGUGAGAAUGCAGGUGCGCUGAAGGAGCAGGCAAUAGUGAAGAGUCAGGGUUCGGGAGGGGAACCAGAGACCCCAGACUUCAGAACUGCAGCUUUUGGGGUCAACACAACAUCCCAGAACAUCAAGACGCCAAGACAGAUCAGCUAGGACCCUGCAGUAGGAUAUCGGUGUCCAGAUGAGACCAGAAGCAACCCAGUAGAAGCCAGGGGACAGUGUGUGACCACAGAAUUCAUGCCUGAUGCCAUCAAGGGCCUUUGCCUCAGACAUGCAUACGGCAGGAGUGUGAGAUCUAUGGAGUAGGCUCACGUCAUGGAGCAAGGAGGAUGGCAGGGGCUCCAAUGAUGAUGUCUGCGUAAGAAUUCCCAUUUAAGAUCUUUCCAAGCACAAGAGUCAUGGCCCAAUGGCAGAGUGUCCUAUGCCCACGAAUAAAUCAAGGACGAAGAAGACGUUUUUGGAACCAGCAUAGUUUCUGGUAGGAUCUUUGCCACUACUU
rnacentral:sRNA from 1 species